rnacentral:rRNA from 1 species
ACGGGUGCGUAACGCGUGGGGAUCUGCCCUUAGGUUCGGAAUAACAGCUGGAAACGGCUGCUAAUACCGGAUGAUAUCGCGAGAUCAAAGAUUUAUCGCCUGAGGAUGAGCCCGCGUUGGAUUAGGUAGUUGGUGGGGUAAAGGCCUACCAAGCCGACGAUCCAUAGCUGGUCUGAGAGGAUGAUCAGCCACACUGGGACUGAGACACGGCCCAGACUCCUACGGGAGGCAGCAGUGGGGAAUAUUGGACAAUGGGCGCAAGCCUGAUCCAGCAAUGCCGCGUGAGUGAUGAAGGCCCUAGGGUUGUAAAGCUCUUUUACCCGGGAAGAUAAUGACUGUACCGGGAGAAUAAGCCCCGGCUAACUCCGUGCCAGCAGCCGCGGUAAUACGGAGGGGGCUAGCGUUGUUCGGAAUUACUGGGCGUAAAGCGCACGUAGGCGGCUUUGUAAGUCAGAGGUGAAAGCCUGGAGCUCAACUCCAGAACUGCCUUUGAGACUGCAUCGCUUGAAUCCAGGAGAGGUCAGUGGAAUUCCGAGUGUAGAGGUGAAAUUCGUAGA